rnacentral:rRNA from 1 species
AUGUUUGUUAGGCAUAAAGAGAAAGAUAAUUUUCAUGUGAGGCUGCAAGUUGAUGUGCUUGAGCAGGCAUUUGGACCUAGGAUGACGGGUGCAACAUCUCGGGGAGAACCAAGUCGUCGUAAUGGCAUCUCUAGCCAGAACAGUUCAGUUGGUGCAUGGCGACGUGGUGGCUCGACAAGUGUGGGCAACAGCAGUAGGGUCCCCCUUGAAGUGGAGCCUGAUGACUACAAUUCUGGGGUUGAUGAAGAGAAGCUAUAUUCUGAUGUUAUUCGGAAUUUACAACGGGCACCUCAGACUGAAAACCAAGAUGAGGCUCACAAUGCCGUCCGUGUGGAUGAUGACGUGGUGGGUGAGGACGAAGACCUUGCAGCUGUUGAAUGGGACCCUUUGAACCCUCAUAUCGAAGAAGGUACAGUUUUUGCGUCCAUGAAUGAGUGUAGAAAUGCACUUGUGACAUACUGCAUCAAGGUAGAAAGUACUUUCAAAGUUGACAAGAGCGAUCAAGUACGUUACAGAGUGCACUGUCCGACUGAGGGUUAUCCAUGGAGGCUGCUCGCAUCUAAAAUGCGGAAUAGCACUAAUGUUCAGGUCAAAGUGAACGCUUUUAAGCACACAUGCCAGGAAUCAACCAUUAGAAAGGAUACAAUCAGUAGAGCCAAGUCAAGAUGGGUGGCAGAAGAAGUAAAGAAGUGGGUGAAAGAAAAUCAGCAAGUGGGUCCAAAGGAAUUGCAGAAGAACAUCAAAGAUAAGUUCAAGAUAGAUUUACCAUACAUGAGGUUGUUCAAUGGUAAACAA